ACCACAGGCACAAAGAGCAGCAACUCAUCUCUGCCAAAUCCAUCUCUGAAAUCACCCCCCCACUCCAUCCCCUCCAGCAGCAGCAGGCAAACACCAUCGAUUGCUGUUGCAUCUCCUCCAAGGCUUCCACCUCACACUGGGAAGGAAGGAAGACCCUUGGAGAGAAGGGGUGUGCAGAGUUGCUGAAGAAGGAGGGUAGCCGAGCUCAUCUUCAUCUGCAAGAUGUCUGGCAGCACCCACACCUCCUCCCAGAAAAUCAGGAGAAGAAAACCGGAUAAGGCUGAAAUUGCAGCAGGAAAAGAAAACAGCCAGGACAUCCCUGUUAGUAGCAGGACUGAAUUUUUCCCUGGAACUUUAUUCUAGAUUUUUAUCAGGCACAAGUCGACAGCAAGAGCAAGCCCACGGCAGAUGGGUGGACGUCGAACACGCUGGAGGAGGAUCCUCCUACAGCUCCUGGACUUGACAACCCUACUCCACUCGCUCCUGAUGGGCAGUCAACUCCACUGGCUCAGCUUCUCAGGGAGAGCCCAGCUGCCUCCCAGCCAUGGUUGCACAGAGAGUUAACAAGAACUGCCAUUCUCUGCAGGGGAAGGAGGACAAAAGCAGGAAAGACGGUUGGUCAAGCCACAAACUGGCAGAGGUCUCACUGGGAGGGAGCAACAGGAUGCUGGCAGCAUGGGUGUGUCCCCUGUCCAUCAGUGCUACUGCAGCUCCUCAGGAUCCCUCUGCCUGGGUGUCCUGCAGGGCUUGCUGACAGCCACCCCUUCCCCAAAAGGUUUGGGCAUGGCCACAGUUGGCCAAGUAAGCACCUCCCUCUCCCAUGGCAAAGGUGCACAGCCACGGAAGACAGCCCAGCUAUUGCUGGGUCCCUGCUUGCAGACGAUCACCAAAAGCCCAAGAAACAAGCCCAGAACUCUUUUUCCCAAGUGAAAAACAACCCCCAGUGGGGAAGGGAGAGCCCAGCGUGAUCGACACUGCAAACACAGAGGCUACAGGAGGACACGCGUCCAGGGACGGCCGAUGCUCACAGCUCGUUCCAUUCUCCAGCCCCUCUGCGCUAUUGUUCCACAGCAAUAAAUCAUGGGGAGGUGCUGGAAUUCUGGGCUGUUUUCUACAAGAGGAAGCCUGGGGUGCCGGAUCUGAGAUGCCGCCUCGCUUUUGCUUGCUAAUUCCCUCGGCGGCCGCUGUGCUCAGUGCCGUUCUGAGCCCUCCACUCCCACGCAUCCCGUCGGAGCGCCGAGCUCUCCCAGUUC